AAGCUCUAUUCUCACUAAUUUUGCAGUAAGAGGUUGAUUAUUACAGGAGAAAAUGAAGGUAAGAGAAAAAAUUUUUU
rnacentral:lncRNA from 1 species